AACGAACGCUGGCGGCAUGCCUAACACAUGCAAGUCGAACGAGACCUUCGGGUCUAGUGGCGCACGGGUGCGUAACGCGUGGGAACCUGCCCUUAGGUUCGGAAUAACUCCCCGAAAGGGGUGCUAAUACCGGAUAAUGUCUUCGGACCAAAGAUUUAUCGCCUUUGGAUGGGCCCGCGUUGGAUUAGCUAGUUGGUAGGGGUAAAAGCCUACCAAGGCGACGAUCCAUAGCUGGUCUGAGAGGAUGAUCAGCCACACUGGGACUGAGACACGGCCCAGACUCCUACGGGAGGCAGCAGUGGGGAAUAUUGGACAAUGGGCGAAAGCCUGAUCCAGCAAUGCCGCGUGAGUGAUGAAGGCCUUAGGGUUGUAAAGCUCUUUUACCCGGGAUGAUAAUGACAGUACCGGGAGAAUAAGCGCCGGCUAACUCCGUG
rnacentral:rRNA from 1 species